UACGUAGGGUGCAAGAGUUAAUCGGAAUUACUGGGCGUAAAGCGUGCGCAGGCGGUUUUGUAAGUCUGUCGUGAAAGCCCCGGGCUCAACCUGGGAAUUGCGAUGGAGACUGCAAGGCUUGAAUCUGGCAGAGGGGGGUAGAAUUCCACGUGUAGCAGUGAAAUGCGUAGAGAUGUGGAGGAACACCGAUGGCGAAGGCAGCCCCCUGGGUCAAGAUUGACGCUCAUGCACGAAAGCGUGGGGAGCAAACAGG
rnacentral:rRNA from 1 species